rnacentral:rRNA from 1 species
UGGUGAGGUAACGGCUCACCAAGGCGACGAUGCGUAGCCGACCUGAGAGGGUGAUCGGCCACAUUGGAACUGAGACACGGUCCAGACUCCUACGGGAGGCAGCAGUGGGGAAUAUUGCACAAUGGGCGAAAGCCUGAUGCAGCAACGCCGCGUGAGUGAUGAAGGCCUUCGGGUCGUAAAGCUCUUUGAUCAGGGAUGAUAAUGACAGUACCUGAAAAACAAGCCACGGCUAACUACGUGCCAGCAGCCGCGGUAAUACGUAGGUGGCGAGCGUUGUCCGGAAUUACUGGGCGUAAAGGAUGCGUAGGUGGAUAUUUAAGUGGGAUGUGAAAUCCCCGGGCUCAACCCGGGAACUGCAUUCCAAACUGGGUAUCUAGAGUGCAGGAGAGGAAAGCGGAAUUCCUAGUGUAGCGGUGAAAUGCGUAGAUAUUAGGAGGAACACCAGUGGCGAAGGCGGCUUUCUGGACUGUAACUGACACUGAGGCAUGAAAGCGUGGGUAGCAAACAGGAUUAGAU